rnacentral:miRNA from 1 species
CUGACCUAUGAAUUGACAGCCAGUG